AUGAUCCUGAGGAUGAAUCCCUUUUUUAAUGAAAUGCAAGAAGAUGUAUUUCAAGGAGGCAGUUUAAAUACUUGCGAUUCAUCUUUGUCUAGAACAGGAUAUAGUUCUGGCCGCAAUUUAUACCACAGCAGAAAACGAAGGCUAUCCCCAAAGAAGCGAAGUCAUCGUGAAAGAGACCGCCAUAGAAGUCCUUCAAGAAGAUCAGAACAGCGUUCUCCUUCACAUUCCCGGAGACGUAGGGAAAGGGAUAGACACAGAAGAAGUGAAGGGGAAAAGUCAAGGCAUAGAGCUAGAGAGCAGUCUGAACGCCAGGGUCGGCACCGUAAAGAACAUACAACCCGCCGACAUUCUCAUGGACGUAGAAGAUCCACAUCUUCGGCUAGAAUGAAAGAUUCAGAUUCCCUUUCACCAAAGCAGAGCAGAGGGGCUUCUCCACAAGUCCUUGAGAAAUCAGCUGAUUUAAAUGUUCAAUGUGGUGUUUCAGACUCUUCAGACUAUGUUGUUGGACAACUUGUAGAGAGUAACAAAUCAUCAUUUCCCCUGGUAACUAUUAAAAAUGACCCUGAUGGACAAAAAAGUAAUCUUGAAAAGAGCGUUGAUAAAGGCGUUUCUCCCUGUUCACAUGAACUUCAAUACAACGUGAAGCGUGAAACUUUAGAACCACCACAAGCCCAGGAGUCUCAAAAAUCUUCAGUUAUUGGCCAGGAUGAAACAGGAAGUGGUUCUUCAACACACAUGGAUAAGCCCUCUCAACGGGAGAUAAUGUUUAUGAGCAAAUUCGAAAGUACGAUCCCUUUAAGAGAAAUAGAUCCACCCAUUCGAGAUUCUCCUCACAGCCCUGAUCCAGAGCCCCAAUUUGUGAAACCUAGCAGCAAAGAAUAUACAAACUCUGCAAAAGUGGAGGAAAUCACGGAUCCUUUGAUGAAUAUCAGCGUCUCAACGACCAACGUUAAGACUGAAGAUAAUAUUCUGUCUAUUGGAGGACAAACAACAAUGUCCAACAUUUUGUGGUCUUCUGUUGGAGGCUCACUAUCAAAAGAUGGAUAUAGUGGUUUGAGAGCCCUAAAUCUUAAUCAUCCAGGGGUCAGAGACAUGGAUAUGAAAGAGGCAGACCAACAGAUAGAAGGGGAAAAUCCAGGCUUAAAGCAUCGAGACGUUCUGGGUCAUGGUGGAGGACUUUCAAAUCAAGCUAAAGGCACAGAUGCUAAGGGACCAGGAAGUGAAAUAGACCCGGUGAAAGAACAUGGACAUAUUAGUCCACAUGUAGAUAGUAGAGAAAUGAGAAUGCAAUUCCCAGGGCCUGACAGGAGAGGCCCUGGAGGUCCAGAUUUCAGGCGAUCAAGGCCUGAGAGGAGAAGUCCAGCAAUGGAUGGUCCUGGGCCUGACUGGAGAGGACCUAUAGGUCCAGAUUUCAGAGGAUCAAAGCCAAAGAGAAGUUUAUCUGUUGAGCGUCCUGGGCCUGAUCGUAGAGGAUAUGGGUGUCCAGAUAUCAGAGAAGCAGGACUUGAAAGGAGAGUUCCACCUAUGGAGGCCCACGGACCCAACAAAAGAGGGCCAGGAGGUCCAGAUUUCAGUGGACCAGGACCUAAUAGAGAACAUCCUGCUAUGGGCUGUCUCUGGCCUUCCAGAAGAGAAUCAGAGGUUCCUGACUUUAGUGUGCCAGGACAUGAAAGGAGAGGUCCUCCUAUGGACAGUCAAGAAUCACACAGGAGAGGACCGGGACUUCCUGGGUUCCAGGGACUAGAGCCUGAAAGGAAAGAUCCAGCUAUGGAUGGUCUAGGGCCUGAGGCAACCGGACCAGGAUGUCUGGAAUUUAGGGGGCCUGGGUACGAAAGUAGAGGCAUCUCCAUGAAGGGUCAAAGACCUGACAGGACUGGUCUAGAAGAUGAAAAUACUGAUAUACAUGGUGCUGACAGGAGGGGACCAUAUGUGAGAGGUCCAGGGACUGAGUUUACUGGAAUGGGGCCUGAAAUAUCUGGUCCAGGCUUUGAAGGUAUAGGCCCUGAUGGUAGAGCACACAGAGGACAAAUCAGGGGUCCUGGGCCACGAAGUGGACAGCUAAAUAUUGAGGGGCCAGGACUUGACAGGAGGGGUCCAGUUAUGAGGGGACAAAGGCCAGAAGGACCAUGUUCCAGUCUGGAGGGUCCAGGGCCCAACAGUAGAGUGCCAGGAGGUCCAGACAUGAGGAGACCAGGGCUACAGUAUUCAGAUCCAAACCGAGAGGGCCCAGGAGCUGACAGGAGAGGUCCAGAAAACCCACAUUUUAAACCAGGAGGAAAUAUGGAGGGCUCAGAGUCUGAUUGGCAUGGUCCACCCAUUAUGGGGGAGAGGCUUGAAAGAACUGUUAUGGAGGGUCCUGGGCCUGAAAUGAUGUGUCCAAGAGGUCCAGACUUUGGAGACCCCAAUUUUGAAAGUGGAUGUCCAGGCAUUUUGUGCCCCGAGCCUGUCAGACACAAGCCUGGGUGCUCAGGCUCAAUGGAACCUGGGCCUGAACGAAGACAUCCGAACAUGGAGGGCCUUGGACCAGUACGCAGAAUAUCUGGUGGUCCAGACUUUAGAGGCCCAGGUAUCAGACAGAAAGGUCCAACUUCAGAAGGUCUCAGGCCAAGAAGAGAUAACUGGGGAGGGGUUGACUUUGGCGGAUCAGAACCUAUCCAAGAGAGACAAGACAUUGUAGGCCAAGGAGCUGAUAGAACAGGACGAAACUUGAGGGGUUCAAGGCCUAUAAGGGGAGGUAUUAGAGAACUGCGGCCAGAUACAAGCAGUCUAAAUCGGGGAGACAAAUGGAAAGGGACUAACUUCAGGGGUUCUGCACAUGAUAGGAGAGGCACAGACAUAGAGGAACAAUGGUCAGAUGUAAGAGGGCCCAAUAUGGAGUCUGUAGGAAAUGAAAGAGAAUGUUCAGGAGAUGAUUGGAUAAGAUAUGACAACAGAGGUCCAGGCCCCAUCCCCCCCCAAGAAGGUCCAGGUGAACAGGUUGAAGAACAUAGUUGGGAGGAUCCUUGUGAGGAAUGGAGAGACCCUGAAAGUAGGGGGCCACGGUUCACACAUGAAAAUGCAGUACAGUUUCCAGAGCCUUUGAGAGGUCGAGGAGAUGAUUGGAGUGGUCCUGUUUGCAGGGGCCCAGGGCCUGUCCAUGGUGAUGAAGAUAUAGUUUUCCCAGGCCCUGGUAGGGGAGGGCCUGGAAAUGGAUGGAGAGGGUCACAAAGAGGGGGUGCUGAACCAAAUAGAAGGGAACGUGGACCAUUUUUCAGUGGAGAGAGAGACCCUGACAAUCAAAGUCAAGGCUGUAGUAGAAGAGGUCCACAUGUGGGAGAACCAGGAUCAGAUAUAAGAGGGGGGCAUAUUGAGAAUGUCUGGAUACAGCCAGAUUUAAGGGGUAAUAUGAGAAGGCCAGGCAUGAAAGGACGUGGGGCUCCGGAAAUGAAUGCAUGCCCCAACAGGAGAGAUUUUGAAAUGGAAGGUCUUGACAGAAGAGUCCCUAGAGGUCCAGACUCAAGGUUCACAGGGCCCGAAAACAGAAAUUCAAACUUUGAAGCUCCAGUGACCGAUGAGAGGUUUUCACAUUGUGGGGGAUUGGCCUCUGAAAGACUAGGUGUGGACGAGGAAAGCCCUAGACUAGGUAGACAGCACGAUUUUAGGAGGGGAAGGAGAGGGGCAGGUAUGAGAAGGCCUGGGCUUGCUAAAACUGAUAGGGGACCAUCUGAAAGGUUAGAUAUAAGACAUGGACAUAGGAGGUGGGAUACACACACUGAGGGUCCUACAUCUGAUAGAAGAGCUCCAGAAAUGGACCCAGGUUUGGAAUUGAAGGAUGACAUGCAUAGUAGAGGGCCAGCAUCACCUCAUUUUAAUAGUCCUCAUCUACUUGACAGAUCCCACGACCAUAGAGAUCCACAUUCUGCAACAUACAAUGAAACCCUAGGUCCAACUCAAAAUAGAGGAGGAAACUCACGCCCCAGUUUUGACAAGCUUCAAAAUCAGCACACAGUAAAGCCCCAGAGACACAGAGCUGCUUUGCUUCCCACUCCAACAGGUAUAAUACGCUUUCAAAAUCACACGAUUAACAAUCCUGAUGUCCUUAGCCCAAAACGGAAAGGAGUAGGUCACCCGACAAAAGGGAGGUGGAGUCGAGACCGUGAGUUAAUCAAAGGGCAAAGACAGACGCAGGAGACAAGUCCUGCUGGUAAAAAAAGCACAGCUGACGAUAAAAACAAAGGGGAAGGAGAAGGAAAGAAGGAAGUUAGCAAUGUGACUGGUAAACAGGAUACAUGUUUAGAAAAUAAAACAAAUGACAGUAUGGAAAGGGAUGGAAAUAAAAGCAAUGUCAAGUCAAGUUAG
ensembl:lncRNA